UCUAUUUCCAGAUAUCCCAGAAUAUUUCCGAUUUUAAUGGAGAUCGUCGUCUGUUUUAUAAAUUAUCUGUCGGCUGUCUGUGCCAUGUGGUCGAGGAUAAUUUAAAAACAGCGCGUGGGACGUGGGAGUGUACUGUACUCUACGAAAGUUAACCGGUAACGGCGUGAAAGAGAAGCUUCCACACGUCUCCUCUGGUUGGUUGGGGGCAGUCCCCUCCCUUCCCUUCGCUUCCGUUCCCGCCAACUCCAAUCUGUGUCAAUGGAGAAUUCAUUGGUGGCGGUGUUGAUCUUGGUCCUCUGUCUUUUCGCCUCCCAAAUCCGCGUACAAUUCGCCGUCACCCUCACCGGAAAUUCCAAUCACCGCCCCCGACCCCGACCUCCUGAUGUCACUUUGUGCGCCCAGCUCAUUCAGCCCGCGGGAUAUCAUUGCUCCGAACACAAGGUUCAAACAAAGGAUGGUUACUUAUUGGCUCUUCAGCGCGUGUCCUCUCGUACUGGGGAUAUAAAAGAACAGCGGGGUCCUCCGGUCCUCCUUCAGCAUGGUCUCUUCUUGGCAGGUGAUUCAUGGUUUCUGGAUUCUCCAAAGCAAUCAUUGGGCUUCAUCCUUGCAGAUCAUGAUUUUGAUGUUUGGGUUGGAAAUGUGCGCGGAACACGUUGGAGUCAUGGGCAUAUAUCCUUGUCAGAUAAAGAUAAGGAUUUUUGGGAUUGGAGUUGGCAGGAAUUGGCUAUGUAUGAUCUUACGGACAUGAUAUCCUACAUAAAUUCUAUAACAAACACCAAAAUUUUUGUUGUUGGACAUUCACAGGGGACAAUCAUGUCUUUGGCUGCUUUCACUCAACCAAAUAUAGAGGAAAUGGUUGAGGCUGCUGCUCUUUUAUGUCCAAUAUCAUACUUGGAACAUAUCACCGCUCCAUUUGUACUUAGAAUGGUUAACAUGCAUCUUGAUCAGAUGAUUCUUGCCAUGGGCAUUCAUCAACUGAACCUUAGAAGUGAUUGGGGGGUCAACCUCUUGGAUUCUGUAUGUGAUGGCCAUGUUGACUGCAAUGACUUGCUUACUUCUAUAACAGGGGAGAAUUGUUGCUUCAAUAACUCACGAGUGGAUUUCUAUCUUGAAUAUGAACCUCACCCAUCAUCUUCAAAGAACUUGCGUCAUCUUUUCCAAAUGAUUCGCAAGGGUACCUUUUCCAAGUAUGACUAUGGAUUUUUCAAAAACCUGAAGCUAUAUGGUCAGUCGAAACCUCCUGUAUUUGAUCUUGGCCACAUACCCGACUCACUAUCACUAUGGAUGGCUUACGGGGGCAACGAUGAUUUAGCUGAUGUGAUGGAUGUGCAGCAUACUCUCAAGGAAUUGCGGUUGAAACCAGAGUUGCUUUAUCUUGAGAACUAUGGUCAUGUAGAUUUCAUUUUGAGUGUAGAUGCAAAGAAAGAUCUUUAUGACCAUAUUAUUAAGUUUUUUAGGUCACGGGGAAAGUCUAGUAGUUUCUGAAGGGACUGCUUACCAUGUCUUAUAGGUCGUGUGGAACUUGGAAGUCUUUUUUUUCUUCUGGGGGAGGGGGUGAUGUACGGAUGUAUCAGACUUUUUAUGUUCAUGUAUUAUAAAGAAGGAAGAUGGAAGAGGAAAGAUGCUUUAAAUUUUCUAAACCAUUUGUUGGAACGUUCAUCAAAGGAAGAUGGAGGGAGUCGUUUUGGACAGUCGUGACAGACUUGCUUGAAGAACUUGUUGGAGCCUGCGUUGCAAAGAAGCCACGUGAAGGAAAUUGAAACUUUAUCAAAAGACAAGUAGAUAUUCUGUAAGGUUGUCUCCAAAUGGACCAGGC